rnacentral:rRNA from 1 species
GAUGAACGCUAGCGGCAGGCUUAAUACAUGCAAGUCGAGGGGCAGCAUGAUUGUAGCAAUACAAUUGAUGGCGACCGGCAAACGGGUGCGGAACACGUACACAACCUUCCAACAAGUGGGGGAUAGCCCAGAGAAAUUUGGAUUAAUACCCCGUAACAUAGCGAUGUGGCAUCACAUUGCUAUUAUAGAUUUUUCGCUUGUCGAUGGGUGUGCGGCUGAUUAGAUAGUUGGCGGGGUAACGGCCCACCAAGUCUACGAUCAGUAGCUGAUGUGAGAGCAUGAUCAGCCACACGGGCACUGAGACACGGGCCCGACUCCUACGGGAGGCAGCGGUAAGGAAUAUUGGACAAUGGACGCAAGUCUGAUCCAGCCAUGCCGCGUGAAGGAUUAAGGUCCUCUGGAUUGUAAACUUCUUUUAUAAGGGACGAAAAGAGGCUUUUCUAAGUCGUCUGACGGUACCUUAUGAAUAAGCACCGGCUAACUCCGUGCCAGCCGCCGCAGUAAUAC